rnacentral:rRNA from 1 species
AUUGAACGCUGGCGGCAGGCCUAACACAUGCAAGUCGAGCGGAUGAAUGGAGCUUGCUCCUGGAUUCAGCGGCAGACGGGUGAGUAAUGCCUAGGAAUCUGCCUGGAAGUCGGGGAUAACGUCCGGAAACGGGCUCUAAUACCGCAUACGUCCUGAGGGAGAAAGUGGGUGAUCUUCGGACCUCACGCUAUCAGAUGAGCCUAGGUCGGAAUAGUUAGUUGGAGGGGUAAAGGCAUAACAAGGCGGCGAUCCGAAACUGGUCUGAGAGGAAGAUCAGUCACCCUGGAACAGAGGCACGGCCCAGACUCCUACGGGGAGCCGCAGUGGGGACUAUUGCACGAUGGGCGAAAGCCUGAUCCAGCAAUGCCGCGUGUGUGCAGAAGGUCUUAGGCUUGUAAAGCAAUUUAAGUUGGGAGGAAGGGAAGUAAGUUUAUCCCUUACUGUUUUGACGUUACCAACAGAAUAAGCACCGGCUAACUUCGUG